ensembl:lncRNA
UUUUUUUCUUUCGCUUUUUAGGGCUGCACCUGUGGCAUAUGGAGGUUCUCAGGCUAGCAGUUGAAUCAGAGCUGCAGCUUCUGGCCUACACCACAGCCAUAGCAACGCAGCAUCCGAGCUGCCUCUUUGACCCAUGCCCAAGUUGUGGCAACGCUGGAUCCUUAACCCACUGAGUGAAGCCAGGGAUCAAAUCUGCAUCCUAUGAAGACUAGUCAGGUUCUUAACCCGUUGAGCCACAACGGGAGUUUCAGAUUACCUGAAUUUAACAAGAGCUCUUUCUUCUAGGGCUAUGUUAGUUUAAUACCCAGUACUAACUCGCUUUUGUUUGCAAAUCAGUUACAAAACAUAUUUUUCUCGUUGUUUUGCCUUCCAGCAACUUCUGAACCAAAUGAUAUCACUGUUUACACUCAAAUGAUGGCUUUUUCCUUUUGACAUCUGUUCAGUCUUUUCCUGUAAAGCGUUAAAUGACUCAUUUAAUCAGCUUUGAUGGUAUGUACGGGACAGUCAAACGUAAACACAAUCUCAUAAGCUACUGCAAAGGCGGAAAUACCACCACCCUGUCCAAGGCACUUUGGUUGGGUGGCUCUGAGGAGGAGCCUGUCAAAAUUCUGCUAAAACUGAAAUUCCGGCCGUCUUACAAUCUCUGAACAUAGGUUGUGUAAAGAGCCUGUGGAGUCCAGACGCACGGGGAUCCCUUUACUUGCAAAGCUUUCUCAGUGAAAGUUAAUCAGGAAGACGGAGCAGUACAAGAGCUAUCUUAGGGUUCUUUCGAGAACUCCAACAAAUAGAAUCCCUUUGCCCCCUCUUCAUAUAAACAACUUUCCCCCUUCUUGCCCCCCCACCCCCAGGGCAUGUGGAGUUCAGCUGUGGUCGUGCCGGAUCCUUAACCCCCCACGCCAGGCUGGAUGGAACCUGUCUCAGGGCUCCCGAGCGCUGCGGAGCUGGUUGCACCAGAGCGGGAACCCCGAGAUACGCAGAUGUUUAAACCGCCAGGCUUUGGGAUAGUUUGUUGUGCAGCGAUGGAACUAGACGUGAAGAGCUUGGCUGGGCCCGGCCGGGUUUUGGGAUGAGCUCCGGCGCUGAUGCGGAGUGGACGGCGGGGGGGCUCGGGCCCCUGGCCCUCCGCAGGGAUGGCAGCGGCUGCGCUGGGUGGCCAAGCUGGAGAGGUGAGAAUUCCAGGCCGCCGAGCCGGUCCUUGUUCCCAGGAUGCGCUUAGGCAGGACAGCACUGAACUCGGUCGAGUCCGGGCUGUGGGUCCAGACGCCCAAGCCGGGAGGACGGAAGGCGAGGACACCCAGCCCGGGUCUGGAGGACAGAGCCGCCUGCUUGGGUCCUGUGGGCAGUGGUCGGGUCCUGGGAGGUCAGGUUACAGGAGCCAGUGCUUUGGGCCAAGGUCUGAGCGCAGGAGGGAACGCCCGCCCAACUCCGAGGCCGGCCGCGGGCUGGUGUAGACACCGAGUCGAGUCGAGGGGCCCUGGGGCUGGAGCCGGAACUGUGAUUGGCGCUCAGCCUGAGGGUGGGGCCAGGAGUGCCCGCUGCGGGGGGAACCAACCGGCACCACGAUUAGUCAGCGACUGGGGAGUACUGCGAGUGCUUUGAAUACAGAUAAAUGUGAGUGUUGGAAUCUCAUCAAACUGAACAUUUCUGCUUAGGCUUGUCUUUUUUCUCAAAGCAAGUUGUUGAGUAGUUUUGAAAAACGACUUGUAUAUACUAGCCGCUCCUAAAGAGGCUAUUAGUGCACCGGCUUUUAAAGCACCCAAGUGAUUGUAGAGGCAUAAAAAUAUCUGCCCGUCAUGACUUUGAGUUGAUCUUACUGGAUUUUGUCACCCCUCCUUUUGAGGUUUUUGCCUCUUCUGGUUUUACUCCAAAAGCAAUUCAGGGAGUUCCGUUGUGGUUCAGCGGGUUAAGGACCUGACGUUGCCUCUGGGAGGAUGCGGGUUUGAGUCCCUGGCCGUGCUCUGUGGGUUUAGGGUCCGGAGUUGCUGCAAGCUGCAAUCUAGGUUGCAGAUACCGUUCAGACCUGGUGUUGCUGUGGCUGUGGCCUAGGCCUCAGCUGCAGACCCGAUUCGACCCCUAGCCCAGGAGCUUAACUAUGCUGCUGUAAAAAUAAAAUACAAUCCAGCUGUAAUUCCUAGAUACAUUCUGAAGACGGCGUGAGCUGGACCUCCUGGCCCACCUUCCCAGCCUCAUUUCCUGCUACCCGCCUCCCGGGGGGUGAAAGUGCCAGAUUUUCUCCAAGUCUGGGUCUUUGCACGUGCUCGUCCCUCCCACUGGAAGGCAUUUCAAUUUCGUCUUCUCCUGAACAGCCUCUGUUCAGUUUAGGCUUUGAUGUGUUAGAUCUCUAAACUCACGAAUCUCUGCAACUCUCUCCCAGUGACUUUGUUCCGGCUUUUAGUGUAACUGCAGCGACGUGUGUGUACCUGUUUAUGGUUCCCUCUCACACGAGAACGUGCCCUGGGUUAGAUGUAGGACACAUAGGUCUUUUCAUGACGAAACUGGGAAAGAGAAAAAUGAGUUAAAGUCCAAUCCAGCGGGAGAGGCGGGAGAGGCGACAGGAAAACGUGCCCCCAAGGAGGGGCGGGCAUGGCGGCCCAAGCCCCUUCGGUGGAGGCGAGUGUUUGACUCGCUUCCACGCCCGGGUGAGUGUGUCCGCCGAGUCCCCUCGAGAGAUGCAGAGCACAGGACGGGCAGAAACCGGGGCUCUGGAGGCCCGGCAGCUCCCCAGCCAGGUCAACGCUGAUGGCACGUGGCUGGGCAGUUCCAGCCCUCGGUUAUGCAUCCGAGUGGAAGGAGGACAUUCCCCCCAAAACGCGUCCAUCAGUGCCUGCAGCUGUUACUUCCAAUUGCCCCAAAGUGCAAACAACCCAAAUGUCUAUGAAACAGUGGAUAAAAUGUGGUUUAUUCGCAUAAAGCAAUGCCAUUCAGCCACAAAAAGAGACGCGGAUGCACAUGCUGUAACGUGGAUGAAAACUGAAGACGUGCCCAGCACAAGACACCCACAAAAAGGCCACAGGUGUGUGGGAUGCUGCUUAGAUGAAACGUCCCCAUCGGGAACUCCAGAGGCCACCUGGACAAAGUGUCUGGGGCCAAGCGUGGAUGGAUGUGGGAGUGCCCGCUGAUGGGGACAGGACUGCUUUUUGGAUGAAAAUGUUCUACGUGUAGACUGUAGCGAUUAAGUCGCAUAAAUCUGUGACUAUACCUAAAGACCCCCAUCGACUGCACACUCCAGGUGGGUCAAUUUCUUUUGUUUUAGGGCCACACCUGCGGCAUGUGGCAGCUCCAGGUUAGGGGUUGACUCAGAGCUGCAGCCGCCGGCCUACGCCAGAGCCACAGCAGCUGGGGAUCUGAGCCGCGCCUUCGACCUACAGCACAGCUCACAGCAACGCCGGAUCCUUCACCCACUGAGGGAAGCCAGGGAUCGAACCUGCGUCCUCAUGGACACUAGUCAGGUUCUCACGGGAACUUCCCAGGUGGGAGAACUUUAAAUGUGAACUGUCUCGAUAAAGACGUUAGUUGAUUCUCGCUACUCCUAACAGUUACUGUGUUGUACAAGCGAUGCGAACACGAACCAUCGUCCUCAGAGGACACAGGGUUAGACCCCUGGAAGCCUCUGGUCACAUUUUCACCCAUUUAUCAACACACAGCCUUGUGUUUCUGCUUAAAGACAUCUUAUUUAAGAGAGACUGUUGAUUCACUAACACUGAAUUCGAGGCCAACGGCGCCAUAAUUCACGUCUGAACAACACUCACCUGACACGUGUGUUUCCCAUAAGGCCCAUCACAGCUUCCCCGCCCUUCCUGGGAACCCAGACGACACUCCAGCGCUGGGCUUGGGGCCCGUUUUGAAGAGUGACGUCACCAACGAAAGCCACAAAAAUGCACAACAUGUGACACCAAAUAGACUGAGAGGGUGCUUGUGGAUGGUAUGAGCUGAUCCGUGGCGGGGAAUGGGUGUGCUGGGGGACCCACCUGUCUCCUUGCUCCGGGAACGACUUCCCGAGCGCCCAGAGCACCGGGACGGCCGUUACAGGUGCAUUUUAGCGAGUGGGUGAAUUUUCUUUAAUUAUAGUUAUUCUACCAAAAUGGUUUUUUAAAAAAGUUUGGAAUUUCAAGGUCUAAAUUUCAAUCUCUUCGUGAGACUAGAUAAAAUGCUCUAUCUGUAGUCUGUUGCAACAGUGGCUUUAACAGGAAAGAACUCGUUUUCGAGGUUUCAGACAAUUCUUCGUUUGAUUCCUUCAGUAUUUCUAGAUCACUGUACUUCGAGACGGAUUCCUGGGUUGAGGACCAGUUUGAAGGUAAAAUGUUUAUUUUAAUCAGCACAAGUCUAACUUCAAUUCCCAGAAAAAGCCCUGUCCCCACAUACGUUAAUUAAGGCACUCUAAUUUUUAAGCAGCAGAGAUACGUACCCAGCUGUGCUCAGAGCUGCAAAAUCUGCCCGCCUCCCUCCCAUGUAUUUGCAGGCAUGAUGGCGCAUGUCGUUACUGCCAAUUCUAAUUUCCAAAGUUUUGCAGUAUUUGGUUUCAAAUAUAUUCUCUGCAUUUUAUUACCUUUAAUUUUAGACUGGAUUUCAAGCCUCAAAUCCUCUUGAAACAGGAAAUGUCAGCUCUUGCUCAUGGCUCCUUGUAAGAGGCGUUUGCCAAAUUCAGGAGCUUCGAGAGAAAUUAACUGUUUUAGGUUAUAAGUAACAUAGUUUUGGCAGGAGGAGCAAAGUUAUAAAUACCAAGUGACUGUUACACGUCCACACUGUGAACCUGGAUAAGCGUCAUCAGAUGUCAGCAUUGGGCUCCAAACUGCAACUGUGUGGAUCAGUAUGGAAGGCCCCUGUCUUGGUAAAUCAAGAUUUGCUUCUUUAAAAAGCUUUUAGCUGUUCUUUGACUGGAAUUGGUGAAAAACAGUUGGAACUGGCUAAUUAAUUCAAACCUCCCAAUUAAACUCCGAGAGCUUGGGAGACACACAUUUAUUCAUCAGUUCGAGUAUUUAGAGCUCUAAGUUCUUCCAAGUUUAAGGUUCUUCACCUUCUCCGGAGCUCCAGCAAGAGGCUCAGUGGAACAGACUUUUCAGGCUUCUCUUUUUUUAACCCCAGUGCCAGGUACUCAUCUGACUGGCUCUUCCCGUGCCGCCCAGAAGGCGGUCCAGAGUUUUCUAGGCCGGGCCCAGCGGCUCUGAAAUCUCACUCCUGUCCUGCCAGUUCUGUGCAGGUGGGGACUCCUCUCCUGCACUUUUCUCCAACCGUCCAUGGCUGGCUCCCCUCCCUCCUGUUCUAAGGAAAGAAUCACCAUUCAGGGUUAGUACAUCACCCAGGGUCUGGACUGUCAAAGUCACGGCCCCCCAUCCCCUAUUUUGGGGACGAUCAAAAAUGGGCCAAUCUGCUUGCCAGGACUUCUCAUGGUUUGACUGAUUAGCUGCCCAGGAUUGAUCCAUUCUCCAGCUGGCUUUAAAAAUGUCUUAAUUUUAAAUACAUGAUUAAUAACUGACCUCUGUUCAAAGAUGCUAUAAACAUUUUCCGGUAGAACUGUCUUUAAAAGACUUGCCAAUAUCCUUUCUUAAGAGUUUAAUUCAACAUAAACAAUUGAAGUUUCCAGAUUAUGAGAAUUUAUCCUAAGGUUAUGUUGACAUAAUAGGAUAUUAGACCCAUUUGUUAAGUUAGUAAGAGGUUUAAAUGACCUAAAGUCGAUUGGAUGCGUGCUGGUCUUGGUGAACCCUCUUUUACGGAGAAGUCACUCAUCAGGUAGAAGGUAAGCGAAGAAAAAUCAUUUUUAACGGCACAUUAAAAAUUCUACAUUUUAAGACAUUUUAAGCAAUGAAAAUGUGUUCAUAUAUAAACUUUGACCAAAAAAAAAAAAAACCACCCAUAUACAAAUAUAAAGCAGUAUUACUCAUAAUUUAUAAGUUUUAAACAAUGUAGCCAUUUCAGUGUUUCUGGUGGAAAAAAAAAACUUAUAAGAAAAUAGAAAUGCACCAAGAAAUGUGUCAUUUUAAAAUUUAUUUUUAAUUAUUUUGGUCACAACCAUGGCAUGUGGAAGUUCCCGCCAUGGAUCACACCUGUGCCACAGCUGGAGCAACACGGGAUCCUUAACCUGCUGAGCCACAUGGGAACUCCAUUUUUUGGAGACGUGUCCUUUUUAAACACGGAAGGAUGAGCUCCCACUGUGGCUCAGCAGGUUAAGGAUCCGACAGUGUCCACGAGGGUGCAGGUUCAAUCCCUGGCCUCGCUCUGGCGUUGCUGCGAGCUGUUGUGUAGGAUCACAGGCGCAGCUCGGAUCCAGUGUGGCUGUGGCGCAGGCCAGGAGCUGUAGCUCCAGUCCCACGCUUAGCCUGGGAACUUCCACAUGCCUUGCGUGCUGCUAUUAAAAAGACCAAAAAAAGGGGAGGGGGGACUAGAAGAACGUCAAAUUCACACUCGAUUUCUGAAACUUUUUUUUAUUAAUAUUUUGGUCUUACAAAUGAUCAUUUAUUUUUAAAUUGACUCUUCUAUGGGAAUGUAAAGCACAAAAAUUUGCUCAACAUCAGAUCCACACAAAUCCUCAAAAAGGUUUUCUGUGUAGUCUUCAUUAAUGCGAAUCUGUGCGACUGUUUCACUCCUACCAUAGAUCUCGAAUCUGUCUCACAAGAACAAAGCCACAGAGAUGGUAU